rnacentral:tRNA from 1 species
GGCCAUGCAUGUGAAACGGGCGUUCAAGUACCGUUUCUACCCGUCCGAUGCGCAGGCGGCUGAGCUGUUGCGCACGUUCGGGUGCGUGCGGAAGGUCU